UACGGAGGAUGCGAGCGUUAUCCGGAUUUAUUGGGUUUAAAGGGUGCGCAGGCGGCCUGUUAAGUCAGCGGUAAAAGCCCGGGGCUCAACCCCGGCGAGCCGUUGAAACUGGCGGGCUGGAGUUGGAGAGAAGUACGCGGAAUGCGCGGUGUAGCGGUGAAAUGCUUAGAUAUCACACAGAACACCGAUUGCGAAGGCAUCUCACGAAUCCGCGAUUGACGCUGAUGCACGAAAGCGUGGGUAUCAAACAGG
rnacentral:rRNA from 1 species